UUCAACCCUUCUUGUGCAGUGGGGUCAUUUUUGACCCAAACCGUAUACACUACGUCAGCGAGCUGUUCACAACGUGAUGCAGUAGGAAGGUUAAUAUUUAAACUUAAUUGAUACUUGAUGGGCUACAACUCGUAGCAGUGAGUAUACGCCGAUUGAAGCGAUCGCCUUCACUGGUCUCGGUCCUGGAUCAAUCGCUUCCAGUCACAACUUUGAGAGUCUUAGAUCCAACUCAACUGCAAACACUCAAGGGGGUUUUUCCCUCUUUCUAAAUUAUCAAUUAAAAUAAGUAAUAAUAACAAUACUUAACUGCAAAAAGCCUACGUGCCGACAGCCCCUUCCUGGUUCCCUGUUGUAUAUGGUUUUAGCUUGCCGUUCGUUCGGUAUACGAGUUACGUGCCCAGCCCACCGCAGCUUGCCGUGUUUUAUUCGCUUCACUAUAUCCAUAUAUUUAUAAACUUGGUACAAUUCGUAGUUCAUGCGACGCCACAAGGUAACAUCCUUGAGGGUCCCAUUAGACGUGACAAAUAUUUGGCCAAACAAGCCCAACAAAUGACCAACACAACGUGAAUCAUGGCAACCUUGGAUAAAUGUCGGAUUUCAAUGGCAAAUAUUUGGCAUUAUGACAAACAGUCCAAUGGCACCUUUAGUUUACAGCCGAGUAUUGUUCGCAGCAAUUCAUGUUCGAAGACUCCAAAGGCUUUUCGAGAAGCUUUUCUCUACGUUCAGCAUUCUUGGCCGUAUAAGGUGACCAAAAGAAUUAAUACUAGCUUUGUGGUAUUCUAGCUGACUACGACCUAGGACACUACUAUGUAGUAGCUCAAUAAAGACAGUAGACAACAAACGAAUUUCAUUAUGUUAAUCAUAAUGGAUUAGGCUGACACAAAUUUCGAAGUCACUAUGUCACAUAAUUGAGUCUGAAUGAGGUUGCAAAUGUGAGCUUAUUCAGUGCCAACCCAUGUUCAAACACGAAAACAACAUAAGUCGAAAUCAAUAAUCUGUUUCGCUUUGAGUUAAGCAGAUGUUUGUAGAAUAUUAUUUAUAUUCUCGGCUUCGUAAAUCAGUCAAACAAAAAUGUUGAACAUAUAGCCCCGUGGUCACCAAAGUGCGGCCCGCGGGCCGCAUGUGAUGUCCAGCUCUCUUUGUUGCCGUAGGAUACCUUGCAAUAUUUGUUAUGGAAGUUGUUCUACUCCCGAAAUAAUCAAGAAUAACGUGAUAAAUGUUUCACAAAUCGAUUUAGGUGUUGCAAUACGGAAAGUUGAAAAAAUGGGCCUGAGGAUCACUGAUAUAGCCGAAAAGGUCACGAGUCGCCCCUGGGUCAAAUAGGGCAAAAUGAACCCCUUCCCGAGGUCUACACAGGAUGAAACCACCACCAUUCGAUUUAGUUUGAGUUUUAAAACCAGCGGCUUCUAAAUAAGUCCGAUUACGGACCCGUUUCUGCCCACUGUGCGAUGGCUGGCAAUCGCUCAGGAUGGAGAUCUUUCAAUUCGGCCUUAAAAGUAAGUAAGUAAGGCAUGACGUCAUCAUAACCAAAGCAUUGAAACAAUAUCAUAAAUUCAUUAUUCACAAUCAUCACAAAACAUCUCUAUUUGAUAGCGUGUUUUCUUCAACAUAUUUUUACAAGAUCUUCUGUACAUUGGGAAUUGCAAGAUUUGCAUGUUUUGUUUCCCUUCCUUGCCUACCUAGGACUGGUAUGGAGGAAAGCCAAAAAUACUUUGUUACGCUUGUAAUAUAGUUGAUACGUUGUAAAGUAGAUUUAAGAAUAUUCCAUGAUUUGCAUUCUCCAAUUGAUGGAAAAUUCUUCAAUUGGUGCAUGAUUGUUGCAGUGUGUUACGUUUGUAAAUUGUUGUGAACAUUUAGUCGGUUUAUUACUAUGGUUUGUACAUGAGACCCUGAAUUUUUACCUUUCAAGAAUAUACUUCGGAACCCUACAAAUGCACAUUUUAAAUUCCGUAUCGGGGCCCAUGUUUGAGAACUUAGAUAUGAAAAAUAACAUGGAGCCUUACAAAUGCGCAAAACACAAACAUGCAACACAUAACAUAAAUUAUGCCCAGUUAUCUAAAUAGAUAACUUGCAAUCCCAGAAUGACGAGGUUUCAUUAUUGUUCUUGGUCCAUCAGUCUAUCCAGUGAUCGUAUUUCUUCUAGUAGGUUGCUUUUUGUUCGCAACCUUUGUUGCUUACAUAGCUUGAGUUUUGUCUAGGAAUUUCUUAUCCUAAGGGGUAUAUUGAUUUGGGUAACAACACAAGACAAUCUAUCGUUUGAUGUCCGUUCUAGGGGACGGCUUGUGUAUUUUGUACUGGAUCGCUAACCAAAAUUGCUGGAGCAAUACAAAUGCGCAUUCAAGUUUAGGGACAGAUGUACAAAUCACACUAUAACAUACAAAAUAAACUGACAAAUUGUUCAUAACAAUAUACAAACGUUACACACUCCAUGCAACAAUCGAAGAAUUUUCCAUGAAUUUUAUUCUCCAUUUCAUGAAAAAUUCUUAAAACUAUUUUACAUAGGUACGCAACAACUACUGUACAAACGUAACAACUUUCCUUUCAUAAAAUUUAGUUUAGAAAACUCCACAACUUUGUGUACCGAUAUUCACUAUUGUUUUUUGUUUUGUCGUCGCACGUUUGCCUAUUUCGAGAGUGGACGAGAGAGAUAUUUUCCGGUGAUUUGUGAUUCACUGUUUGUGUAUGUGCAGAACUACCUUCAUUUUUGCCUAGUCUUUCAAUUAUCAUAAUGUUUCCCUUUUAUCUUUUUUGCCGAAUUACGUAGGGUUAGGGGGUUUUUAUUUAUUACAGUUACUAUUGUAUGUACAUCUAGAACUAUUUUAGCGCAUUCACUAUCAUCAUCUGGGGUGUACGUCGUGAAGGUGUGAUAUUUUAGUUUAGAGGAUAAUCCUUUUUGCUUGCGUGUCGUCAUAAGUGUGCUGUUCUGUUGCUACCUGCGCAAAAGUGUCGUUUGCUAGUUGUUUGUGGGAUUUUCGUAGAUCUUGAGCCAAUCUUCAAGCGCCGAAUGGAUAAUAAUUGUGUGUAGUGACGAGAUUUUCAAAGCAAAAUAUAAUGUGUUACGAUUGUUUUGAUUCAGGAGGUGCUUAAUACAUUUAUUGUUUUCAUUUCAUGAGAAGAAUACCAGUAACGUGAGAUAUUUUCUAUUGCAAGUUUUGUUACAUGUUGUUGCUAAUAUAAAUACUUAAGUGAAAUAGAGAUGGGAAAACUGAUUCAAUUUUGAGAGCGAAUCGUUCCCGAUUCACUCUCAAAAAAGAGUCGACUCUUUUGUUCGAUUCAAUAACUCAUUUCCGGAAUUUGAUGAAAAAUUUCGUUUUUUGAGCCGAGUCCUUCCUUAUAUGUCCAGUUUUUGAGAAAAUCUGCUCUCUUGGUACGGACAACAACGUCGAAUUAACAAUCUUAGCAUGACGUGAUAAAAUGCAAUUUAACACAGAAUUUUGUUCCUGCCACUAAAGAAUCGAAUCACUGGUGAGAGUCAGCCACACAAUAAACUAACAAAAAAAAUAUCUAACGGCAAAGAUUGCGGUGUUCUGCGUCUAAUUAUUAUGAAAGUGCGUAAUCAGCUCACUCUUUUCGACAGAUUGUUGGACUCGUUAUGAACUUCACUGAAUCGUAACUCUUUUGAAAAGAAUCAUGGUUCACUCACUCGAUUUUGCGAGUCGAAUCUUUGAGUCGAUUCGCGAGUGAGUUGCCCAUGUCUAAAGUGAAACUUAUACGAAAGAUUUGUAUGCUCUGUUCUGGAGACAUGAAUUUCAUAUAACUUAUACACCUAUUUAACCAAUUAGAUGAGAAUAUCUAUUAUGUUGUCAGCUUUACGGCAUAUUGCAAGGAUCAAGGUUGAUACUGUUAAAUCACUGUAAUGGUGGUCUAAUGUAGAAAACGAAGCGCGAAUUUCUAGGUCAAUACCAAAUUUCUAGUCAAUAAUAUGAAGCAGAAGUUGAGAUUUGCAUCUUACUAACAACAGAGCAAUUACAGACGAUUCAUAACCAUAGAUAACUUGUCCUUGCAUCAACUUGGUAUGCACUAGCAUUGGGCAAGAUUGGCAGAGACAUCGAUUUUUGUGAAUCGAUUCGAAUCGGACCAGCAGAAUCGAUUCACCGAUUCAAUCGAAUGCCUUAAAUCGUCGUUUUCACAUCGAUUCGAUAUUCUAAAAUGUUGGAAAACCAUAAAAUGAUCCGUUUGAAGUAUGGUGUACAAGUUCAUGGGAUGAUUUAUUUGUCUAAAUAAAUUUGAUACCAAAAAUUGAGAGUAUACAUCGAACCGCCUCUUUAGGAAUUCCUGGAUGAAUCCGUAGGGGAAUUCCUGGAUAAAUGUCUGCAGCAUAUUCUGGGAGAAAUCUUGAAGAGAUCCUUGGAUAAACCCCUGGAGGAUUCCCUAGAGGAAAUCUGGAAGGAAUCCCUGGUGAAGAAAUAUCUUGAGGAAUUCCUGGAGGAACCCUUAGAGAAAUUUUUGGAGAAAUUCUUGGAUGAACUCCUGGAAGACUUUUUGGAAAAAUCGCUGGAGAAAUCCCUGAAGCAAUUUCUGGAGGACCCUCAGGUGGAAUGCCUGGAGGAUCUUUUGGACAAAUUUCUGGCGGAAUCCCAGGUGGAACUCCUGGAGAAAUCCCUAGAGGAGUUCUUGAAGAAAUCCCUGAAUGAAUGGAGGAAUCUCUAGAAGAAAUCUGGGAGGAAUCACUGGAGAAAUUUAUGAAGAAAUUCCUAGAGGAAUUCUCCGAGAACUGUUUCUGGAGGAAUUCUUUGAGGAAUUUCUGGAGGAAUCUUCGGAGAAAUUUCUGGAGGAAUCUCUGGAAGAACCCUAAGAGGAAAUCCUGGCGAAAUUCCUGAAGAGUUCCCAGAGGGAUUCCUGGAGGAAUCCCUGAAAAAUUCUUAGAGGAAUUCCUGAAUAAAUUCCUGUAAGAAUUUCUGAAGGAAUCCAUGAAGGAUUUCCUGAAGAAAUUCCUGAAGAAAUACCUGGGGUAAUCCCUGGAGAAGUUCUUGGUGGAAUUCCCUGAGGAGUCCCUGGAGAAAUGCCUGGAAGAAAUCCGGGAUUAAUGCCUGGAAUAAUCCCUUGAGGAUCCGGAGGAAUUCCUGAGGGCAUUUCUGAAGUAAUGCAUGGAGGAUUUCCUGGAGAAAUCCUUGAAGGAAUUAUUAAAUAAUCCCUUGAGGAUCCGGAGGAAUUCCUGAGGGCAUUUCUGAAGUAAUGCAUGGAGGAUUUCCUGGAGAAAUCCUUGAAGGAAUUCAUGCAGGGAUCACUGGAGGAAUUCUUGGCAUAGAACUUUUUGAAGAAAUUGCCGUAGGUAUUGUGGAGGUAUACCUAAAGGAAUUCCUGCAGGCAUGCUUAGAGCAAUCCCAUGAAGAAUUUAUGAAGGAAUGCCUGGAGAAAUUCUUGCAGACAUGCCUGUAGGAAUUCCUGGAGGAAUCUAUAGAGAAAUUCCUUGAGAAAUCUCUACAGUAUUCCCUGGAGGAAUCCCUGCAUACAUUCCAUGAAGUAUCCCAGGAGGAGUCCUUAGGGAAGUUUUUGGAGGAAUUCCUGGAGUAUUUCCUUCAAGAAACUACUGGAGCACUUUCAGAAGGAGUUCCUGGGGAAAUAUCUAGAGGAAAUCCUUGAGGUAUCUCAAGAGCAAUACCUAGAGUAAUCUCUAGAGAAGUUGGUAGAAGAAUUCCCGGACGAAUCUCUAUAACAGUUUAUGGAGGCAUCCAUGUAGGAAUUUCCCGAAAAAUCCUGGAGGAAUACCUUGAAGAAUUCUUGGAGGAAUCCCAGGAGGAAUUCCUGAAAAAAAUCCAAGGUUCAAUUUCUGAGGGAAUUCAAGGAGGAGUUUCUGAAGAAAUCCCAGGAGGAAGUAAUGAAGAAAUCGCUGAAAUUCCAGCGAAAUCUUGAAGGAAUCCUAAAAAGAGAACGCUAAAGAACUCUUGGAGCAAUCCCUGUAGCAGUUCCUUAAAGAACCCCUGGAGGAGUUCCUAAAGAAAACCCAAGAGGAAGCUUGAAAGCAACCCCAAGAGGAAUUCCUAACGAAAUCUUGAAACAGUUCCUGAAGGAAGUCUUAGAUUCCUGGGGGAGUUUCUGGAAGAAUUUCAGGAGGAAUUUCGGAAGGAAUCCCAAGAAGAGUUCUCGGAGACAUAUUCAAAAUAAUCCUAGAAGUUGGUCUCGAAAGAAUGACAGAAUGAAUUCCCAGGUAAAUUCCUAGAAGAAAUUUGUGAAGAAACCCCAUGAUGAAUCCCGGAAGCAAUCCCACAAGCAAUUCCUUAGGGAGAGCUCACGAGAGCUUUCUUAGCAAAUUCCUGGAAGAAUUUCUGUAGGAAUCCCUGGAUAAAAAAAUGAAGAAAUCUAUGUCUGCAGCACUUUCUGGACGAAUUAUUGAAGGAAUACUUGGAUGGACUCCAAAUGGAUUUUUGUAAUUUAUUUAGAAAUUAGUGGAUUAAUUUUUGAAUAAUCUCUUGUAAAAUUUUCUGAAAGAAUUUCGGGAAGACAUUCCUGCAGAAAUACUUCGAAUAUUUCCAAGUAGAAUUAUUGGAGCAAUCUCUAGCGGAAUUCUGGAAGGAGUAUAUGUAGAAAUUCUUGAAGAAAUCUCUGAAAUCCCUAGAGAAAUUCCUGAAGGAAACCUCAAAAACAGCACUCGAACAAUCACUGGAGGAACUUUUAAAGAUAUCCCAGGACAAAUCCCCGAAGAAAUGUCUGGUGGAAUCCUUAGAUGAAUUCUUAAAGGAAUCUCUGGAGGAAUUCAAGAUGGAAUCACUGCAGCAAGCUGUGGAAAAAUUUCUGAAGAAAUUGUUCCUUCUCAUAUAGUUUACGAAACUAGAAACAAAUCUAAAACAGCCAUUUUGAUUCCUCAAAACUGCAAUGCCUAUUUGCACAUUCACAUAUCGGGCGUUUAAAAGUCAUCUCAAGUCAGUACUUUUGGUAAUUUUUAGUUAAACUGCAGCCACACGAAAUUGAACUCGUUAUCAGUGUGCCAAUGGAAUCAAGUAAACAGACAAUUUUAGAUCUGCAGAGUGCAGACACAGCAAAAAUAACACGGAAUCAACCUUGAUCGACUUUGCAAGCACGCGUUUGCUAUCGUUCAGUAAAGCUUACUGUAACAUUCAUUGAACACAAAGCAAACGCAAACAAUUCUGCUAGCAUUUGUUGUUAGCAAUAUGUACCUAUAUACCGACGCCCAACUGUUUUGAGAUAUUGAGAUAAAUCUUCUGGUCGUACGUUUGUCUAUGUAGUAUACUAUUUCAUGUGUUUUAUGUUUGAUUAGAAUGUUUUUUUUUUGCUUUGAUAGAAUGAGUGUGUAUCGUUGUGUUUUUGUUGCUUGAAGAAGUUUAAACUGCUGUCGAGUACACUAUUAGCUAGACUUUGUUAAUAGAAAAUGACUGUUUUUUUGUUGUUGAACCAAUAAAUAGCAUCUACUCUGCCAUUAACAAAUCUUAAAUUAUACCUGAAUGCAGAGAAAAAAAAUAUGCUCGUUAAAACAUUCACAGACUGAAACUAUUUUAAACAUAAUUCUGUUUCCUCAUUUUAUUUAAAAUUCGAAUAAUAUAAUAGCAAAGGAACAAAAUCAUGUACA